AACAAAACCAAGCGACUUCGGUCGUUUUUUGUUGACUCAGAAUAACUAAGCUGAUCGCAUGGUCUUGCACCGGCGACGUGUCUUUCAAGUAUCUGCCUUAUCAACUUUCGAUGGUAGUGUAUCUGACUACCAUGGUGGUGACGGGUAACGGAGGAUAAGGGUUUGACUCCGGAGAAGGGGCCUGAGAAAUGGCCACUACGUCUAAGGAUGGCAGCAGGCGCGCAAAUUACCCACUCUCAGAACGAGGAGGUAGUGACGAAAAAUAACGAGACCGUUCUCUACGAGGCCGGUCAUCGGAAUGGGUACAAUCUAAACCCUUUAACGAGUAUCUAUGAGAGGGCAAGUCUGGUGCCAGCAGCCGCGGUAAUUCCAGCUCUCAAAAUGCAUAGAAUUAUUGCUGCGGUUAAAAAGCUCGUAGUUGGAUCUGUGCUGAGGACCUGGUCCACCUUCGGGUGCGUACUAGGCUCCACGGCUUUUCUGCCGGUUUUCCCGUCAUGGCUUUYAWCGGCUGUGGCGGGUGGCUGGUGAUUUUACUUUGAACAAAUCAGAGUGCUUCAAACAGGCGUUUAGCUUGAAUGUUUUUGCAUGGAAUAAUAGAAGAGGAUUUCGGUUCUAUUUUAUUGGUUUUAUAGACUGAAAUAAUGGUUAACAGAGACCAACGGGGGCAUUCGUACCGCUGCGUGAGAGGUGAAAUUCUUGGACCGCAGCGAGACGAACUACAGCGAAAGCAUUUGCCAAGAAGGUCUUCAUUAAUCAAGAACGAAAGUCAGAGGUUCGAAGGCGAUCAGAUACCGCCCUAGUUCUGACCGUAAACGAUGCCAACUAGCGAUCUGCCGGUGGAAUUUUCGCCCUGGUAGGGAGCUUCCCGGAAACGAAAGUCUUCCGGUUCCGGGGGAAGUAUGGUUGCAAAGCUGAAACUUAAAGGAAUUGACGGAAGGGCACCACCAGGAGUGGAGCCUGCGGCUUAAUUUGACUCAACACGGGGAAACUCACCCGGCCCGGACACCAUAAGGAUUGACAGAUUGAUAGCUUUUUCAUGAUUUGGUGGAUGGUGGUGCAUGGCCGUUCUUAGUUCGUGGAGCGAUUUGUCUGGUUUAUUCCGAUAACGAGCGAGACUCUAGCCUACUAAAUAGUCUGCACAUUGCUUCUGUGAUGCAGUACUUCUUAGAGGGAUUUUCGGUGUACAGCCGCACGAGAUUGAGCAAUAACAGGUCUGUGAUGCCCUUAGAUGUCCGGGGCUGCACGCGCGCUACACUGGCGAAAUCAGCGUGCUUGUCCUUGCUCGAAAGAGCUUGGUAAACCAAUGAAAAUUUGCCGUGAUUGGGAUCGGAAAUUGCAAUUAUUUUCCGUGAACGAGGAAUUCCAAGUAAAUGCGAGUCUAC
rnacentral:rRNA from 1 species